GAUGAACGCUGGCGGCGUGCCUAACACAUGCAAGUCGAACGGAAAGGCCCUGCUUUUGUGGGGUGCUCGAGUGGCGAACGGGUGAGUAACACGUGUGUAACCUGCCCUUGACUUUCGGAGAACAUCAGGAGACUGCGGCUAAUACCGGAUAGGAGCUCCUGAUGCAUGGUGGGGGUUGGAAAGAUUCGGCGGUUGGGGAUGGACUCGCGGCUUAUCAGCUUGUUGGUGGGGUAGUGGCUUACGAAGGCUUUGACGGAUAGCCGGCCUGAGAGGGUGACCGGCGACAAUGGUACUGAGAUACGGACCAGUCUCCUACGGGAGGCAACAGUCGGGAGUAUUGCACAGUGGGGGGAAGUGUGAUACAGCGACGCCGCGUGCGGAAUGAUGGCCUUCGGGGUGUAAACCGCUUUCACCUGUGACGAAGCGUGAGUGACGGUAAUGGGUAAAGAAGCACCGGCUAACUACGUG
rnacentral:rRNA from 1 species